rnacentral:lncRNA from 1 species
AAAGCUUAUAAAACGAAAAAGUCAGUGCAAUCUGAGAGAGAGAAAGAUAGAGCUUACAAAUAGAGAUGGCUGCUGCUAUUCCGGCUGUUUGGUCUGAGCCGCUCUUUUGGGGGGAGUAAUUCUGAUAAGAAUAGCUUGGCCUUGAUGUGUUAAUAGUUAUGGUUGGUGGAAGGUAAGGAAGGUAGAAUGGAGGUGGGGGAGCUCGAGCCAUAGCCACUGCUAGAAAGAGAGAUGCUUCUCUGUGUGUGUGUGAGGGAGAGAGUGUGUACAGAGAGAGAGAUGCUUCUACUGUGUGUGUGUGAGAGAUGCCACUGAGAGAGAGAGAGAGAGAGGAAAAGAAGGGGUAGAUAGAUAGGUUUAGAUAUUAAUGGAGCUUAAGGUUGAAGAGGGCAGGUCCUUUCCAAUGGAGUUAAUGGGGCCAAGG